rnacentral:rRNA from 1 species
AUUGAACGCUGGCGGCAGGCCUAACACAUGCAAGUCGAACGAGUGGCGGACGGGUGAGUAAUGUCUGUGAAACUGCCCGAAGGAGGGGGAUAACUACUGGAAACGGUAGCUAAUACAGCAUACCAUCGGAUGUGCCCAGAUGGGAGGGGCUUGUAGGUGAGGUAACGGCUCACCUAGGCGACGAUCCCUAGCUGGUCUGAGAGGAUGUCCAGCCACACUAGAACUGGGACACGUUCCAGACUCCUACGUGAGGCAGCAGUGGGGAAUGUUGCACAAUGGGCGCAAGCCUGAUGCAGCCAUGCCGCGUGUGGGAAGGAGGCCUUCGGGUUGUAAAGUACUUUCAGCGGGGAGGCGUUACCCGCAGAAGAAGCACCGGCUAACUCCGUGCCAGCAGCCGCGGUAAUAC